AACCAGAAGCAAAUUACUUCAAAUAAUUUCCUUAUAAGACAUUGCCGAUCCUGCUGUGACCUUCCUCCAUCCCUCUUGUUGCCUCUGGACAUAUAAUCCAACUCAAGUCCCAACAGGUCUACAAGGGUGAGGCACAAACUGUGACCCAUGAGGAGGUGUGCUACACCCCAAAAUCCCAGGGAAGAUUGGUGGAUCAAAAGGUGCAUGCAUCAUUUCCAGGACAACCUUUGAGCCUGUUGCUUAUUGGUGUAAUUGAAAAAUAUGGAGAAUGUUUAAGUUUUACAAAAUUAUUAUGGUUAAAAGACAUUACCAUUAACCUCCUCAAGAUGCCCUCACUUCAAACACACCUAUUUCAUCAUUCUUACCACUUCCUGAAGCAGUUCCGUAAGUCCUCUUUCCCAAGUGUCUAUAUUUUUGCUGUCAUGGCUGCCUCAGUGUCCUGAAUGGACUCAAAACAUUUACCUUUUGCAGUCAUUUUGACUUUGAGGAAGAGCCAGAAUUUGCAGUGCCAGACCCAACAAAUAAGGUGAAUGAAGACACACCCUACUAUGUUUAUUCGAUGGAAAUUGCAUUAAAUAUUUUGAACUGAUUCCGGAACUGCUUCAGAAAGAGGCAAGAACAGUGGGAUAAGUGUGUUGGAAGCAAGGGAGAGUAUUUUGACAGGAAUUAAUGGUAAGUUUUCUUUCACUGUAAUAAUUUUUUAAAUUUUUAUUUAAGCAUGCACUAUAUUUUUAUCAGGCUUCAUUGAUGUAUUAUUUUGUUCUCUUUGAUAUGGAGGAUAGAGCUCAGGACCUUGUUCUUGUGUCGGCCACUGAGCUAAAUCCCCAGCCCUCAUCGAUAAAUUUUUGUGUUGUUGAAU
rnacentral:lncRNA from 1 species